rnacentral:rRNA from 1 species
AUUGAACGCUGGCGGCAUGCCUUACACAUGCAAGUCGAACGGUAACAGGUCUUCGGAUGCUGACGAGUGGCGAACGGGUGAGUAAUACAUCGGAACGUGCCCGAGAGUGGGGGAUAACGAGGCGAAAGCUUUGCUAAUACCGCAUACGAUCUCAGGAUGAAAGCAGGGGACCGCAAGGCCUUGCGCUCACGGAGCGGCCGAUGGCAGAUCAGGUAGUGGGUGGGAUAAAAGCUUACCAAGCCGACGAUCUGUAGCUGGUCUGAGAGGACGACCAGCCACACUGGGACUGAGACACGGCCCAGACUCCUACGGGAGGCAGCAGUGGGGAAUUUUGGACAAUGGGCGCAAGCCUGAUCCAGCCAUGCCGCGUGCAGGAUGAAGGCCUUCGGGUUGUAAACUGCUUUUGUACGGAACGAAAAGACUCUGGUUAAUACCUGGGGUCCAUGACGGUACCGUAAGAAUAAGCACCGGCUAACUACGUGCCAGCAGCCGCGGUAACAC